rnacentral:rRNA from 1 species
AAUGAACGUUGGCGGCGUGGAUUAGGCAUGCAAGUCGCGCGAUUUCCUUCGGGGAAGAGCGGCGGAAGGGAGAGUAACGCGUAGAUACCUACCCUCGGGACUGGAAUAGCGACGGGAAACUGUCGGUAAUGCCAGAUAACGUCCCUGGACCAAAGGUGUGAAUCCGCCUGAGGAGGGGUCUGCGUCCUAUUAGCUAGUUGGCGGGGUAACGGCCCACCAAGGCGAAGAUGGGUACCGGGCGUGAGAGCGUGACCCGGCUCACUGGGACUGAGACACUGCCCAGACACCUACGGGUGGCUGCAGUCGAGAAUCUUCGGCAAUGAGCGCAAGCUUGACCGUGCGACGCCGCGUGCGGGAUGAAGGCUUUCGGGUUGUAAACCGCUGUCAGUGGGGAGGAAAUUCUUGGGGGUACUCCCCCUUGAUUGACCGAUCCGCAGAGGAAGGACGGGCUAAGUUCGUGCCAGCCGCCGCAGUAAGAC